CGUGCGCGUGUGGCGGGACUCGGCUGGAGACCGCCCGCACUGAAAAACGCUGCGCGCGCCUAGAUGUGCGCAUGGAGGCCACGUGUGUGCGCGCCUCUGUGUGUACACCAAGGGCCAACUGUAUGCACGUCUGUGUGCAUGCGCAGGGAAUAGAGGGCCACGUGUCUGCCUCUGCGUGUGUGUGUGUGUGUGUGUGUGUGUGUGUGUGUGUGUGUGUGUGCCAACAGAGAAAGAUCUGUGGUGCGUGCCCUAGCUGCAUGUACACGUAGAAGGGCCACAUGUGGGCACACCUGUGUAUAUGCAGAUAGUAUAGCUGUAUACUAUCUGCAUAUACACAUGUAUGUAUGCAUGGAGUAUGAGUCGUGUGUGCACGCCUGAAGAUAUAUACAGAAAACCCUCUGUGCAUACAAAUAUGUAUACCCGUGUUUAAUGUCUGCGCACAGAAAACAUGUGUGUGUGUGUGUGUGUGUGUGUGUGUGUGUGUGUACAAAUAGAAGGGCCAGCUAUGUGCACAUGAGGAAAAAGAGGUGAGUUGUGGGAGUGCUUUCAAGUACCUGUAUGUGCACUCCAGAGCGAGGAGUCUUGUACAUUCACACAGAAUAAAGUGAAGACUGUGGGGAUGCACACACAUACUGUACACUGCAGAGACAUGGGGAUCCCAGCUACUGCUCAACUAUUCACCUCCACAGCCACAUGGCCUGAACUUGGGUUGCCAAUGCUUCAGGGCAGGAAGCAGCCUGAAAGACAGCUUGUCUGCUCCUUUCACUUCAGAAUCCAUCUACUUCGUCCCAGGAGGGGUCUGGUAGACCCUGAGCCCUGAAGACUCAGUCCAUCUUGGAGACCACUCCUUUAGGACUAAAGUUGGAGAGCCUGGGAAGAGAAUACGUAGCCAGGCCCCCCAAAUCAGUCCAAACGGUUCAGACAGAAUGGCUCUACUUUCCCCCAAGAAGCCUGGAGAGCAGAGCGCUGUUAAACACUAUCAGAGAACUGUUCAUGCCAGUGACGGAUGUUAGUCUGCCUGGGUCCCAGGACUCAGUCCCACAGCCCUUCUUUAGCAUCCAACUGGACUGUCAUGGCUGCUGUCCUGUUGCGAACACUCCUUCGAUGCUUGAAGGAAGCCGCUCCUUGCUAAGCAGAACCAUGAUUCCAGAGGCAGCAUCCAAGACGUGACUAUUUCAACAGCUUGCACCAGACUUUGUGCCAGCCAUCACAAGCCUUGGUAGACUGGUAAUACGAAGAGAUGACAAAGGCGUCCGCGGAGCAGUGACAGCCACAAGGGGGACUCUGAAGAGUUCCAGAGCAAGUUCUGGGCAAGAGCAACAAACAGCUACACAGGAAGUGAGGACAAGACUGCAGCAGACACUGGAAGACCUCACCAGAAGGUGAAGAGCCGCGAUGAAGAAGGCCAUGAUGAGGCAGGGAAGAGGAACGGGGUACCAGUCGCUGGAAGAGUUCCAGGGAGUUGCCAAGCCUCAAGGGGUAGCGGUCUCACUCUAGGCUUGAAAACUCCAACAAUAAUCAGUUCCCAGCACGCAGCACCCAUGCAGACACGCUGGCAGACACUGCCCAUGGCUGCUGAUGGGAGCCAAGGAUUCUGGGAGCUGCCAAGCGUUGUGGCAGCUGGGCAUUAAAGCCUGGAGUAAUCUAAGCCUCCAACUUUGGUAGCUCGAGCCCUAAGCUGGCUUCUAGAGCCUGGAGCAAUAGGCCCUUGGCUCUCAGGGAACAGAGUUGUAAGCCUCUGGAUCCUGCCAGUCAUCCCAUAAACGUCGGGCAUGUAAGGGCUGGGAUUACUAGCACUAGGGAAUCGUCUCCUUGCCUGAUCAUGUGUAUCUUGGGUAAAGCAGAAUGACCCAGCCAGCUGAUUAGUAAUAUAGAGGUCAGAGCUGUACCAAGUGCUGGGCUAAUUAACAUCUAUGAAGAGCUUUGAGGAGCACAGACCAAAGGCCUCCCUCAGAAAUAUGCAACAUAUGAUUACUGGACACCCCUAUUUUGCAUGGCUUUACAAUUAACCACCUUUAUGCUGACUACACCUGCUCCUGCCACUUCGGCUAAGCCCCACCUCCUUAAGCUGUCAAGCGUUUAAUUAACAUUGGUUCUGCGUGCCGGAAUUGAAACCAUGCAUGGAAGCCUUCAAAUGGCCAGGAGUCCUCCGAUUCUCUAGAUUCUCUAGUUCCCCUCCCCUCCCCCAGGUACCAGGGAAACAAAAGAAAGCCACCAUCCUGGUCUCGACCAACCAUGGGAAGCGGCACCUGCCUCCCAUGUGUAUUUAACAAGAGCGGAUUUCUUAACUAUGCGCAGAGUAACUUUACAUGACAGCCGCCUUCACCCGGAUUGUUUCGGACAGCCAUGAACUCAGUUCGCUGUAGGCUGCAGAGGGUCCUCAUCGCAUUCUGGAAGCCAAAUUCACAGGAGUUGGAAACCAGUGGUGACCAGGAUAAACAGUGGAGCCAGAGAAUGCAUAGAAUGGGUGGUUUGGGGGAAGUGUCACGGCAGAUUGGUUUCCCGAUUUUUGCUUAUAAUUUGUGACAGACAGACCUGUUUCUUGGGUGAUGGGUAGCCAGGAAGCACUACAAUAAAUGGACUUCAAAUAAGACAUACUCUCCAAUAUGCACCUUAGUUACUGCCAUCGUUACUGAGACAGAAAUACCCGAGAGAAUUCACUUAAGGGAGGAAAGAUGUAUUUUGACACAUGGUUUCAUGGUUUUAUGGUCAUCUGGCCCCAAACAGAAUAUCAUGGUGAUGGGCGGUAGUGGCACACACCUUAAAUCCCAGCACCCCGGAGGCAGAGCCAGGUGGAUCUCUGUGAGUUCGAGGCCAGCCUGGUCUACAGAGCGAGAUCCAGGACAGGCACCAAAACUACACAGAGAAACCCUGUGGGGGGGUGUAUCAUGGUGGAAGAAGAAGGUAGCUGAGGAGAGCUGUUCUUCACCCCCUUGGGAAGCAGCGAUUGAAACUGGGUUGUUGUAUACCAUUUCCAUCCUGUGGGGGAAGAUUCCCAAUGUUCUGAGGGAGGCUCCUUAAGACUCAGGAAGCAGAGUCUGGAGAGAUGGCUCCACAGCUAAGAGCACUUGCUGUCCUUGCAGAGGACUGGGAUCUGGUUCCUAGCACCCACACACACACACGACAGCUUAUGACCAUCCGUAAUUCCAGGUCCAGGAGAUCUGGCACCCUCUACUGGCCUCUAGGCACCAGACAUAUAUAUGGUGCACAUACGUACAUGCAGGCAAACACACACACAUUCCAAAGACAAACAAACAAACAAACAAACAAAAACAAAUCUUAAAAAAGUCAGGAAGUAAACAACUCCAGAGCUUCCAGAAGUCCCUGAUACCAAAUGCACUAGGAGCCUCCCUCCCCAAGCUUAUGUAAGCAGAGGGGACCGCCGAGAGACAACCUCAGACAAGCCCAGCCGUCUGGAAAAGACUGUGACCAACUGAGCUACACAUUUCAACCGUUGAGAUGCCUUCAAGUUGUGCGAACAGCUCUAGGUUUCCAGUUUCCACGUGUCGUCUCUGGGGUGGCUUUUGGCGAUGCAGCUGUCUCUGGGUCAUGCGGGGAUCUCUGCGAUCUUCACGGGUCACAGAGACAGGAGCCACAGGAGGCAAGGGGCAGUUCAGCUUGACACGACUCAGUAGCAGAGUCCGAAUCCGAGUUGUUUAAUUUGGGCAUAUUUAAACACAGCACAAUUGGGCGAAAACUUUUCUUGUGAAGAUUAACUCAAUCCCACAUACACAACAAAGCACAUCCUAAUCUCUUUGAGAAACAAAGCAAGCAAAAUACGGAGCAGACAACAAUGAUGGAACUCUUUGUAAGGUACGUGCGACCCCUUCUGUAAAGAUGGGCUCUAUAGAUUGACUAUGUGUGAUACCUUCCACAAAGAUGAGUUUCCAUGGAUGGACUAAGAAAAACCAGUUUACAAGAAGGGUCUGGAGGAGGGUCUGGUGCCAGAAAGUCUUCGGCCAUGCAGAUUGCGCAAACGUCAUCGGGCUAGAAAAUGUGUCCACUCCAGCCUUCUGGGUGUAAAACAGGUUUUGCAUUCCUUCCCUGGAAGGAAGGAACAGCCCUUUGUUUUUAACAUUCCGGGUCCCCCUGGUGCAUGUCCGUGAGCACGAAGGCCCGAGUGUCCCCUACAGGGACAUUUCUGCUCACUCACACGCCUAUAGUCACACCAGCCAAACCCCCUGACUCACCACAUGGGGCUACAGCGGGAGCCUCAUUUUGUCCUGUGCUUGGUUCUCUAUCCGGGGUGAGUAGAUGUUUUCUUCACAACGUGUUACACAACAGGGACACAGGAAGGAGCCGAGAUGAGAUGAACCCAAAGGACAUGUCUCCAGCGACCUGCUCCCGGGCGCCAGGCCCCACCUCCUCCAUUUCGCCUUCUCUCAAUAACGCCAUCAUAUUAUGACUUCGCUGAGGGAUUAAUCCACUGACUCGGUCGGAGCCCUUGGGUCUCUGGAAAUGCCCUUACGCAUCCCCAGAGGUGUGCUUUAUUAAUAUCCUAGGCAUUUCCUAAGCCAGUCAUGUUGACAAUCAAAAUUUCCAUCGUGGGGGCUGAGGAGAUAGUUCGGGGGGUAAAAUGUUUGCCAUGGAAGCAUGAUGGCCUGAGUUCAGAUCCCCAGCAUCCAUAUAAAAAGCCGUAACAUCAGUGGUUCUAAACCUUCCUAAGGCUGCGAUCCUCUAUUAUGGUUCCUCGUGUUGUGGUCACCCCCCAACCAUAAAAUUAUUUUUGUUGCUA